UACGGGGGGUGCGAGCGUUAAUCGGAAUAACUGGGCGUAAAGGGCACGCAGGCGGUUUUUUAAGUGAGAUGUGAAAUCCCCGGGCUCAACCUGGGAAUUGCAUUUGAUACUGGGAGGCUUGAGUAUGGUAGGGGGGGGUAGAAUUCCACGUGUAGCGGUGAAAUGCGUAGAGAUGUGGAGGAAUACCGAAGGCGAAGGCGGCCCCCUGG
rnacentral:rRNA from 1 species